rnacentral:rRNA from 1 species
GAUCAUGGCUCAGGAUGAACGCUAGCGACAGGCUUAACACAUGCAAGUCGAGGGGCAGCGGGGGUGUAGCAAUACACCGCCGGCGACCGGCGCACGGGUGAGUAACGCGUAUGCAACUUGCCUAUCAGAGGGGGAGUAACCCGGCGAAAGUCGGACUAAUACCGCAUGAAGCAGGGAUCCCGCAUGGGAAUAUUUGCUAAAGACUCAUCGCUGAUAGAUAGGCAUGCGUU